rnacentral:rRNA from 1 species
AUUGAACGCUGGCGGCAGGCCUAACACAUGCAUGUCGAGCGGAUGAAGGGAGCUUGCUCCUGGAUUCAGCGGCGGACGGGUGAGUAAUGCCUAGGAAUCUGCCUGGUAGUGGGGGAUAACGUCCGGAAACGGGCGCUAAUACCGCAUACGCCCUGAGGGAGAAAGUGGGGGAUCUUCGGACCUCACGCUAUCAGAUGAGCCUAGGUCGGAUUAGCUAGUUGGUGGGGUAAAGGCCUACCAAGGCGACGAUCCGUAACUGGUCUGAGAGGAUGAUCAGUCACACUAGAACUGAGACACGGUCCAGACUCCUACGGGAGGCAGCAGUGGGGAAUAUUGGACAAUGGGCGAAAGCCUGAUCCAGCCAUGCCGCGUGUGUGAAGAAGGUCUUCGGAUUGUAAAGCACUUUGAGUUGGGAGGAAGGGCAGUAAGUUAAUACCUAGCUGUUUUGACGUUACCAACAGAAUAAGCACCGGCUAACUUCGUG